rnacentral:lncRNA from 1 species
UCUAAUAUCAAUAAUUUUUUUUUUGUAUCAAACCAUAUCAUCUAUCAUAAUUCUUUAACUCAAAGGGUCAACAUUCCUGACUUACUCAAAGUAAUCCAGAUUACCAUGCUUUCGUUGCGCACUCUGAUCUAACAAUCAAAAUUUCUUAGGUUCAUCAAAAAAAGUUUGAUCAAAUUAUUUCUUUAUCUUAUCAAUAGAAAAGAUCUAAAAUUUUAA